UACGUAGGGUGCAAGCGUUACUCGGAAUCACUGGGCGUAAAGCGUGCGCAGGCGGUUGUGCAAGACAGAUGUGAAAUCCCCGGGCUCAACCUGGGAACUGCAUUUGUGACUGCACAGCUUGAGUGCGGCAGAGGGGGAUGGAAUUCCGCGUGUAGCAGUGAAAUGCGUAGAUAUGCGGAGGAACACCGAUGGCGAAGGCAAUCCCCUGGGCCUGCACUGACGCUCAUGCACGAAAGCGUGGGGAGCAAACAGG
rnacentral:rRNA from 1 species